rnacentral:rRNA from 1 species
UGGGGAAUUUUGGACAAUGGGCGAAAGCCUGAUCCAGCAAUGCCGCGUGUGUGAAGAAGGCCUUCGGGUUGUAAAGCACUUUUGUCCGGAAAGAAAUCCUCUGGGUUAAUACCUCGGGGGGAUGACGGUACCGGAAGAAUAAGCACCGGCUAACUACGUGCCAGCAGCCGCGGUAAUACGUAGGGUGCAAGCGUUAAUCGGAAUUACUGGGCGUAAAGCGUGCGCAGGCGGUUUUGUAAGACGGAUGUGAAAUCCCCGGGCUUAACCUGGGAACUGCAUUCGUGACUGCAAGGCUAGAGUAUGGCAGAGGGGGGUAGAAUUCCACGUGUAGCAGUGAAAUGCGUAGAGAUGUGGAGGAAUACCGAUGGCGAAGGCAGCCCCCUGGGCCAAUACUGACGCUCAUGCACGAAAGCGUGGGGAGCAAACAGGAUUAGAUACCCUGGUAGUCCACGCCCUAAACGAUGUCAACUAGCUGUUGGGGUUUAUUAACCUUAGUAGCGCAGCUAACGCGUGAAGUUGACCGCCUGGGGAGUACGGUCGCAAGAUUAAAACUCAAA